UUGGCACAAAGAUGAACUUGGACUUCAUGAAAAAUACAAACGAAGCCACCUUCUUACCUCACCAAGUUGCCACUUCAAUACCCUUCUCAUCAGACAAGUUGCCCGAAAUUUUGGACCAAUUAUCUGUGAAACCAGAAUCAGUAGAAGCUGAGACAAUCAAGAAUACUAUUAUAGAUUGUGAUAGACCUGGAAUUAAAGGAGAGGAAAAGUAUUGUGCAACCUCAUUAGAAUCCAUGAUUGAUUUCAGCACCUCAAAGCUGGGGAAUAAGGGUGUUAAGGCAGUUUCCACAGAGGUAGAAAACAAGUCCCAGACGCUGUACAGAAUUGCAGCUGGUGUGGAGAAGAUGGGAGGUGACGUUUCUGUGGUGUGCCAUAAAAUGGAGUAUGCAUAUGCAGUGUUUUACUGUCACAAGAUCGCUGCCACAAGGGCUUAUAUGGUUCCCCUGGUGGGCAGGGAUGGGGCAAAAGCGAAAGCAGUUGCAUUGUGUCACACAAAUACAAAGGAAUGGAACCCCAAGCAUUUGGCCUUUCAACUGCUCAAAGUCAAGCCAGGAGUUCCCAUCUGCCAUUUCCUUACUCAGGAUCAGAUCAUCUGGGUGGUUUCAAAAUAGAAAUGCAGGGGCAAUAAAUAAAUAAAGAAAAUAAUCCAUCUUUAGUACCUCGAUCGGUAAUGUAAUGAACUUAUGAGUUAUGAGUUGUUUGCUGCCACCCUCGCCCUAAUGUAUUAUGUUUGUAUGUAACUAUGUAUGCGUGUGGGAUAUUGUAUAUAUGAUCUGGUGUGCUUUGGAACAAGGGACAUGCAUGGAGCCCAGUGUUUAUAAAAUAAUUAAUCAAGUUGGAUGGAAUCCUUUAUCGUCCUUUAUCUUUACCAUCUUUAUGACAGAAAAAACAAAAGGGGGAAAAAAAGCAACGUCUGAAAUCAUGUUUGCUCCCACUACAUCCUGUCCCUUUCUCACUUUAUUUUCCUUCCCUUCCCAUUGGAGUCGAUAAGAAGGGAAGAAAAAUAAAAUAAAGUGAAAGGGAAUAAAAGGAUGUUAGGUUAUGUUUGGUUACUAGUGUGUUUUAUACUUUAUCUAUCGCAUUCAAAAUUUUAUACUUUGCCCUCCAAAUUUGUUAUUAAACAACGUUUUGCUACCUAAACUUAUUAAAAGUCAAUAAACGACAUAUUAAGUAAAAAAGUAAAACUGAAAUAUAAAGAAAAAUACUUGUUAUUCAAAGUCAAAAUUACAUUUAAAAUCUUGAAUAAAUAUACAAAUGUCUCUUUAAAAUUAAAAUUCAAAACUAAUAAUUGUCAUAGUUCAAAGGCAUUUGGAAAAGUCCACUUUAAAAUUAUCAUCUUUACCCAGGUUUAAUCCAUUGAUCAAAUCGGGUGCAAAAAAAUAAAAAGUUUUGUAAUUGGGGGAUUAAGUGUUGCUCUAUAACGAAUUUGGAGGGCAAAGUCUUGAGUUCUAAAUGCGAUAAAGUAAAAUAUAAAACCGCUAAAGAUUAAAAUGGUAAAAUGUAUUUAAUCCUCUAUUUUAAUCCCAAAACUUAGAAGAAAAAAAAACUUUUGAAAUAUAAAGAAAUCGGAAAAAAAAAAUUAAACUUUUGCUACAAUAUUAAUUUCUAUUUUUGUUUCUUAAAAUUAAAUUCAAAGAUCAUAUGUUGAAGUUUAUUUUUCUUCUAACUUUCAAAAUUUAUUAGUAAAAUCUAGAAAAUAAACGACACUAAAAUAUUUUUUAUUUUGCAUAAUUUUUAAAUAAAUUUCAAGUUUUCAUUAUUUAUCACACAAUUAACAUGUCUUUGUAGUACCUUUCUAUAUAUAUAUAAUUUUUUUAUUAUUUUUUUAUUUUUUUUGCCACAACCUUAAAGAACCAUUAGCAAAUUUUUGCCCUUACCUAAUUGAAGGGUAUAAUGUACUCAUGUUAUGAAAGUUGCUUCAUCUAGCAUUCAAAAAUGAGUGGUGAUUAGUUGUUUGCAAUAACUCUCCCUCAUCACAUGGCUACCCUGAAAGAAUCCCUAUAUAUGUAGAGGCACCUCACUUCAGUUCCUACCAUUCAAGCUUAGCCACAUCCCUCUGAUCUAUAAAAUAUAGUAUUGCUUCUGCUGCAGUUUGGGAGCUUUCAUGGAGUUUUACCUCCUUCCCAUUCUGGCUUUUCUCUCUGUGAGCCUUACCUUCCUACUUCUAACACACUCAUAAGGCACUAAGUUAUUUACAAGCCUUGGUUGUGCUAUUUGGCACUGAAAAUUAAACCUGUUCUCUAUAUAUUUUGGAAAAUCAAAACAACGCCCAGAUGAAACUAUACUUUACUGAGCAUUUUUAAAAUAUUUUUCUGAAAAUAUUGAAAAAAUAUGCAGAAAAGGGAACAGAGUUUGUAACAUGUUCAUCAUUUUUAUUAUAGCUGUCAUGAUCUCUGUAGAUGGGCUUUCCUUAACUUUGAUGUAGAAGAGCAUUAGAGCUAGUGUUUAUAUAGGCUAUAUAGUUCAUUUCUUGUAACUGAACUUUUAUGCAUGAAACUAUGGCAGCUUGUGGUGGUGGAAAGCCGUGCUUCUCUGCGAUCUGAGCUUUACUGGCCCUUGGUGUUGCCAAACACUCCCAAGCCAAAGUUUUGUGGGUUUUCUGGAGGCCUGGUAAUUCGUUUCUAAUUUCUAAACUCCUCUGCUAACUUACUCUUUUUCUUCACUUUUUGGGUGUUAAGAGAAAAAUAAAUUAAAAAUAUAAGAAUCUAACAAUAAUGUAUCUGAACUUCAGUUGCAGCUAACUCUAACAGCCGGUGAUGCUGAUCUACCUUCUGAAGUUUACUGGAGUUCUGUGCUUCCAAACACCCCGAUGCCACAAGCUGUCAAGAAUAGUCUACGUCCAGGUUGGUUAUGAAAGUUUAAGAGUUUGCCAUAAAUUAUUUUAGGAGGGUGUUACAGGAUUCUGAUUCUUAGCAUCAUGGUGAUCGAAUAUGCAGACCUGCUGGAAGACCAAAGCACCCCUGUAGAGAUAGGGAAAGGCACUAGUAUGGGUUUCAGCAAAGAAGGAGGAGCUAUGAACAUGUAUGCUGGAGUUAAGCCAGCGAAAGCAGCGAUGCCCUUCUCAUACCAUUAUGCUGCUACAAAGGAUCAGCUCCAUGCCUACCCUAAUGUGGCCAUUUUCUUCUUGGAGAAGGACAUGCAUCCCGGCAUGAAGCUGACCUUGCACUUCACCAAGACUACAAAUGCUACUUUCUUACCUCACCAAGUAGCUAAUUCAUUACCCUUCUCUUCAGACAAGUUGGCUGAAAUUCUGGACCAGUUGUCCAUAAAACCAGAAUCAGUAGAAGCUGAGACAAUCAAGAAUACGAUUGAAGAGUGUGAGGACCCUGGAAUUAAAGGGGAGGAAAAGUAUUGUGCAACCUCAUUAGAAUCCAUGAUUGAUUUCAGCACCUCGAAGCUGGGGAAUAAGGGUGUCAAGGCCGUUUCAACAGAGGCAGAAAACAAGUCCCAGAUGAAGUACAGAAUUGCAGCUGGUUUGGAGAAGAUGGGAGGCGACUU
rnacentral:lncRNA from 1 species